GUUUCAGGGCGAGGUGAAAUUCCUCACUGGCGGUAACAGAUUUCUAUCAAGCACGGUGCUUGAGGUCUGGAGCCCGCGAGCCGCUCCCCCGCGGUUGAUUCGGUGCAACUCCGAAGCCAACGGUUAUAGUCCGGAUGGAAGAGA
rnacentral:ncRNA from 1 species